UACGUAGGGUGCGAGCGUUGUCCGGAAUUAUUGGGCGUAAAGGGCUCGUAGGCGGUUUGUCGCGUCGGGAGUGAAAACCUUGGGCUUAACUCAGGGCUUGCUUUCGAUACGGGCAGACUAGAGGUAUGCAGGGGAGAACGGAAUUCCUGGUGUAGCGGUGAAAUGCGCAGAUAUCGAGAGGAACACCUGCGGCGAAGGCGGGUUGCUGGGCUGACACUGACGCUGAGGCGCGAAAGCUAGGGGAGCGAACGGG
rnacentral:rRNA from 1 species